GCAAGGCCUGACGCGAUUGGAUGAGCCAUGUUCGAUUAGCUAGUUGGCGGGGUAACGGCCCACCAAGGGCGACGAUCGAUAGCUGGUCUGAGAGGAUGAUCAGCCACACUGGAACUGAGACACGGUCCAGACUCCUACGGGAGGCAGCAGUAGGGAAUAUUGGACAAUGGGCGCAAGCCUGAUCCAGCCAUGCCGCGUGAGUGAAGAAGGCCCUCGGGUUGUAAAGCUCUUUUGUUGGGGAAAGAAAAGCAGUUGGUUAAUACCCGAUUGUUCCGACGGUACCCAAAGAAUAAGCACCGGCUAACUUCGUG
rnacentral:rRNA from 1 species